GAGACCCGCGCCAACAGUUGCCAGCAUGUCCUCCGGGAUGAUGGGGACACUGUUGGGACCGCCUCUGCUAAAGAGGAGGAAGGAAUGGGCAACGGUAGGUCAGCAUGCCCCGAAUUACCCGGGCUACACGCGGGCUACAAUGGACAGGACAAUGGGAAUCGACACCGAGAGGUGAAGGCAAUCCCCUAAACCUGCCCUUAGUUCGGAUUGUGGGCUGCAACUCGCCCACAUGAAGCUGGAAUCCGUAGUAAUCGCGGAUUAACAUUCCGUGGUGAAUGU
rnacentral:rRNA from 1 species